AUUAUAUACAGGGCCUUGCUCUGCUUUGAAGCUAAUUCAUGUUUUCUUUGUGAUUAAAAGUGAAUGGAUUUCCGUUUAUCUCUGUAAUAUCCAAUUCGUCUGUGAGAAGUAGUUGUUUUUUUUUUCACUUUGUUUCAGAAUCCAUGUGUGAUCCAAUAUGGAUGAGUUGCAGAAAGUUUGGAAAAAUUAGAGUUAUGGAAUUUUACAGCUAGUUACACGUGCUAAUAAAC